GCGUCUGUAGCCUAGUUGGUAAAGGCAGCACUCUAGUAUGUGUCUCAGCAUAGCUGAGGUUGUGAGUUCAACUCUCACCAGACACA
rnacentral:tRNA from 1 species